GGGUUGUGAGGUUAAGCGACUAAGCGUACACGGUGGAUGCCCUGGCAGUCAGAGGCGAUGAAGGACGUGCUAAUCUGCGAUAAGCGUCGGUAAGGUGAUAUGAACCGUUAUAACCGGCGAUUUCCGAAUGGGGAAACCCAGUGUGAUUCGUCACACUAUCAUUAACUGAAUCCAUAGGUUAAUGAGGCGAACCGGGGGAACUGAAACAUCUAAGUACCCCGAGGAAAAGAAAUCAACCGAGAUUCCCCCAGUAGCGGCGAGCGAACGGGGAGGAGCCCAGAGCCUGAAUCAGUGUGUGUGUUAGUGGAAGCGUCUGGAAAGGCGCGCGAUACAGGGUGACAGCCCCGUACACAAAAAUGCACAUGCUGUGAGCUCGAUGAGUAGGGCGGGACACGUGGUAUCCUGUCUGAAUAUGGGGGGACCAUCCUCCAAGGCUAAAUACUCCUGACUGACCGAUAGUGAACCAGUACCGUGAGGGAAAGGCGAAAAGAACCCCGGCGAGGGGAGUGAAAAAGAACCUGAAACCGUGUACGUACAAGCAGUGGGAGCCUCUUAAUGGGGUGACUGCGUACCUUUUGUAUAAUGGGUCAGCGACUUAUAUUCUGUAGCAAGGUUAACCGAAUAGGGGAGCCGAAGGGAAACCGAGUCUUAACUGGGCGUUAAGUUGCAGGGUAUAGACCCGAAACCCGGUGAUCUAGCCAUGGGCAGGUUGAAGGUUGGGUAACACUAACUGGAGGACCGAACCGACUAAUGUUGAAAAAUUAGCGGAUGACUUGUGGCUGGGGGUGAAAGGCCAAUCAAACCGGGAGAUAGCUGGUUCUCCCCGAAAGCUAUUUAGGUAGCGCCUCGUGAAUUCAUCUCCGGGGGUAGAGCACUGUUUCGGCAAGGGGGUCAUCCCGACUUACCAACCCGAUGCAAACUGCGAAUACCGGAGAAUGUUAUCACGGGAGACACACGGCGGGUGCUAACGUCCGUCGUGAAGAGGGAAACAACCCAGACCGCCAGCUAAGGUCCCAAAGUCAUGGUUAAGUGGGAAACGAUGUGGGAAGGCCCAGACAGCCAGGAUGUUGGCUUAGAAGCAGCCAUCAUUUAAAGAAAGCGUAAUAGCUCACUGGUCGAGUCGGCCUGCGCGGAAGAUGUAACGGGGCUAAACCAUGCACCGAAGCUGCGGCAGCGACACUAUGUGUUGUUGGGUAGGGGAGCGUUCUGUAAGCCUGUGAAGGUGGCCUGUGAGGGUUGCUGGAGGUAUCAGAAGUGCGAAUGCUGACAUAAGUAACGAUAAAGCGGGUGAAAAGCCCGCUCGCCGGAAGACCAAGGGUUCCUGUCCAACGUUAAUCGGGGCAGGGUGAGUCGACCCCUAAGGCGAGGCCGAAAGGCGUAGUCGAUGGGAAACAGGUUAAUAUUCCUGUACUUGGUGUUACUGCGAAGGGGGGACGGAGAAGGCUAUGUUGGCCGGGCGACGGUUGUCCCGGUUUAAGCGUGUAGGCUGGUUUUCCAGGCAAAUCCGGAAAACCAAGGCUGAGGCGUGAUGACGAGGCACUACGGUGCUGAAGUGACAAAUGCCCUGCUUCCAGGAAAAGCCUCUAAGCAUCAGGUAACAUCAAAUCGUACCCCAAACCGACACAGGUGGUCAGGUAGAGAAUACCAAGGCGCUUGAGAGAACUCGGGUGAAGGAACUAGGCAAAAUGGUGCCGUAACUUCGGGAGAAGGCACGCUGAUAUGUAGGUGAAGCGACUUGCUCGUGGAGCUGAAAUCAGUCGAAGAUACCAGCUGGCUGCAACUGUUUAUUAAAAACACAGCACUGUGCAAACACGAAAGUGGACGUAUACGGUGUGACGCCUGCCCGGUGCCGGAAGGUUAAUUGAUGGGGUUAGCGGUAACGCGAAGCUCUUGAUCGAAGCCCCGGUAAACGGCGGCCGUAACUAUAACGGUCCUAAGGUAGCGAAAUUCCUUGUCGGGUAAGUUCCGACCUGCACGAAUGGCGUAAUGAUGGCCAGGCUGUCUCCACCCGAGACUCAGUGAAAUUGAACUCGCUGUGAAGAUGCAGUGUACCCGCGGCAAGACGGAAAGACCCCGUGAACCUUUACUAUAGCUUGACACUGAACAUUGAGCCUUGAUGUGUAGGAUAGGUGGGAGGCUUUGAAGUGUGGACGCCAGUCUGCAUGGAGCCGACCUUGAAAUACCACCCUUUAAUGUUUGAUGUUCUAACGUUGGCCCCUAAUCGGGGUUGCGGACAGUGUCUGGUGGGUAGUUUGACUGGGGCGGUCUCCUCCUAAAGAGUAACGGAGGAGCACGAAGGUUGGCUAAUCCUGGUCGGACAUCAGGAGGUUAGUGCAAUGGCAUAAGCCAGCUUGACUGCGAGCGUGACGGCGCGAGCAGGUGCGAAAGCAGGUCAUAGUGAUCCGGUGGUUCUGAAUGGAAGGGCCAUCGCUCAACGGAUAAAAGGUACUCCGGGGAUAACAGGCUGAUACCGCCCAAGAGUUCAUAUCGACGGCGGUGUUUGGCACCUCGAUGUCGGCUCAUCACAUCCUGGGGCUGAAGUAGGUCCCAAGGGUAUGGCUGUUCGCCAUUUAAAGUGGUACGCGAGCUGGGUUUAGAACGUCGUGAGACAGUUCGGUCCCUAUCUGCCGUGGGCGCUGGAGAACUGAGGGGGGCUGCUCCUAGU
rnacentral:rRNA from 1 species